CAUUAUUCGAACAUGGUUUUUAUUGUGCUGCUUUUUCGAUAUUUCAUUCGACCAGGAAUUUUUGGUGUUGUAUCUGAUGCUGGAACGUCGACCAUUGUUGUACAAUUGACGGCAUAUGAGGUCUUUUUUGUUGUUUUCAAGAGCUUUGUACGUCACCAACUAUCAACUCUGGUAAGGCAGACGAAAUCAGUCUUCUAUUUGAAGAUAGAAAUAGAGGACAGAAAUGAAAAGAUGAAUAAACACCAGAUAGAAAUUACGACUGACAAAAGGGAUAAUUUCCACAUUUAUGUUACAUCGGAAUUAUCCAAAGAGGGACGAACCCUUAAUGAAAACCGAAACAAAUACAUUGAAUAUCAAACAUUCAGGUACAAGUUUACGCCAAAAUUUCCUUAAAAAAAACGUUUUCUACAUAAUGUAAAUCUUUUGUUGGGUUACAUUUAGGUGGAUUACAAUGGACUUACAUAUAUAA